CACUUCUAAGGAAGGCAGCAGGCGCGCAAAUUACCCAAUCCUGACUCAGGGAGGUAGUGACAAGAAAUAACAAUAAACCGGCUUAUGCCGGUUUAAUUGGAAUGAGUACAAUUUAAACAUCUUAACGAGGAACAAUUGGAGGGCAAGUCUGGUGCCAGCAGCCGCGGUAAUUCCAGCUCCAAUAGCGUAUACUAAAGUUGUUGCAGUUAAAAAGCUCGUAGUUGGAUUUCUGUGGGGACGGAGCGGCCGGCCGCACAUCGCGGUUCGAGCUAGCGCUUUCCCUACAUCCUGCCGCGAACCGUGCUACCAUUAGUUUGGUGGCGCUGGGGAUCGGCUCGAUUACUUUGAGAAAAAUAGAGUGUUCAAAGCAGGCCACAUGCCUUGAAUAAGUUAGCAUGGAAUAAUAACUAAGGACUUCGGUUCUAUUUUGUUGGUGUUCGGGACUGAAGUAAUGAUUGAUAGGGACAGUUGGGGCGGUCUGUAUUCCAAAGCGAGAGGUGAAAUUCUUAGACCUUCGGAAGACAAACAGCUGCGAAAGCGUUCCGCAAGGAUGUUCCCUUUGAUCAAGAACGAAAGUUGGGGGAUCGAAGACGAUCAGAUACCGUCGUAGUCUCAACUAUAAACUAUACCAGCUAGGGAUCGGCCAACGUUAUUUUAUACCGACUUGGUCGGCACCUUAUGAGAAAUCAAAGCAUCUGGGUUCCGGGGGGAGUAUGGUCGCAAGGCUGAAACUUAAAGGAAUUGACGGAAGGGCACCACCAGCCGUGGAGCCUGUGGCUUAAUUUGACUCAACACGGGAAAACUUACCAGGUCCAGACAUAGUAAGGAUUGACAGAUUGAUAGCUCUUUCUUGAUUCUGUGGGUGGUGGUGCAUGGCCGUUCUUAGUUGGUGGAGUGAUUUGUCUGGUUAAUUCCGUUAACGAACGAGACCCCAGCCUGCUAAAUAGCGCGCGUGAGCUUUGCUCGCGGCGAGCUUCUUAGAGGGACUAUGAUGCGCGAUAGCACAUGGAAGUUUGGGGCAAUAACAGGUCUGUGAUGCCCUUAGAUGUUCUGGGCCGCACACGGGCUACACUGGCGCCUGCAACGAGCAUAUCAGCUGGCCCGAGAGGGUCUUGGCUAAUCUUUUGAACCGGCGCCGUGCUUGGGAUUGACCUUUGCAAUUGUUGGUCAUGCAACGAGGAAUGCCUUGUAAACGCGAGUCAUCAGCUCGCAUUGAAUACGUCCCUGCCCUUUGUACACACCGCCCGUCGCUCCUACCGAUGAAUGUUCCGAUGAAAUUUUCGGAGAGCACCUGUGAACUUGGCUCUGCCUUGCGAACGGGAGGCUCAAAGUCACUUAAAUCUGAACAUUUC
rnacentral:rRNA from 1 species